rnacentral:misc_RNA from 1 species
UUAGUAUUUGAUUAGGGUUUUCUUAAGGAUACCUAAUCCUAGUAUUAAUUGGACUAGUUGUUUUACUAUAAAUUCUUUUGUUUCUUCUUGUUCUACAUCACACUUCAUCUUGCAAGAUAAGAUGACAAUGAUAAUCUAAAUGGCUGGGGACAUGACCAAGCUGCAUAUCAUGCGACCACCGAACGUGGUAGCCUGGUGGUUAACUUGGUUAGAUGGCCUUGUCUUACACCGGUCCAACUCCCGGCACCAGCAUGAUGACUAAAUAUUGUCUUUGUUUAGGAGUGCAAUGGGGGGAGGCGACGGAUUAUCCAAUAGUUCGUCUCAUUGGGUGCAACCUCGGGUUCGGUGGUAGGUCCCUUCUUAUAGGGUUUGGCUAAAUCGAGGACGUCAACUAGUGACCCCGAGCCUCAGGCCUAAGGAGGUUAUGAUUGUCAUACCCGAAGAGCCCAAUUUUUUACAAGUCA